CUCGCUCAUGCUUGCUGUUCUGCUCUGCGCGCAGAGAGAGGUGCGUGGUGUGUGCGUGUGCGUGCGCCUCUGCGCCUCCCUCCGCUGCUCGCGCCCUCCCUGUGUGCGUGUGCUGGCGGAGGCGGCUGGCUGUGGCGACGACGCAGGCACGGGCAGCAGCCGUGCAGCACAGCAGGCGCGUACACGCAUACACACCUAUACACGCGGGAACGGGACUGCAGGCGAGGGGCAGGACCGGAGAAUGCGCGGCGGCACGAGCGAGUGCGACGGUGGAGCGGAGCAGCGGCGGCGCUGCUUUCCUGCUCGCUCCUCUGGCGUCUGGCUCGAGCCCGUCUGCGUGUGCGCCCCCUGUGUCGCUGUGUCUCCUCGCCUCUCUCCUGCGCGAUUUGUGUCGAUGGCUUCGUUGCUGACGCACCCCACGGAGUCCUCCAGGCUCCGCCGUGUGGAGUUGCCACGCCGUAUGUGACGGGUUGCAGCGCACCGACGCGACUGUGGGGAGAGAAGCACUGCAUCCAGGUCGACUACACUGCAGGGCCUCACAGGGCCCUGACCGGAGGCUGGGCAGCAUUCUCCCUCGGCUCGUGCGGCACGUAGAGCCACCGCUCCCCACGAACGCCCUGCUACCCUUUGCUACCCCCUCCCCACCGACAGAGGCCAGCGCCUCCGUCAUGGAGCACGACCCUGAGGGGGCGGCCCCGCUGGGAGCGCGGCGUGCCGUGCGCCCCGGUGCGUGUGGCGCCGAUGCAGCGGCAGGACGGCUCGUCCUCGACGACGCGGAUGUGGCCGCCGUGCCACAGGGCGUAGGCGGGCCGUGGCUGUACGCGCGCAUCUGCCGGCUUGUGCGUGGUGGCGUGGAGGCGGUGAGAAGGAAGUGCAUGCCUCGCGGACUCGGACAGACAUGCGAAUCAGCACAUCUAAACACAAGCAAAACGACGCGUGCAUAUAUGCACCGAUAUCUAUAUAUAUAUAUGGGUGUGUGGAUGUCUGGAACGACAAAACCGCCAAACGCCUGUUAUUACGCUGUCCUCGCCUGGCAGGGCGGGGGGCGUGCGUGCGCUUGCUUCUCCUCUCUUGCUUGUCCUGUGUUUCCUUUGCGGCACGCCUUCCUGCGCGCGUGCCUGGUAUUUAUCAUGCUUGCUUCCGUUGUCCGACUCGUUCAAACCAACAGCGUCACCGCCGCCACUGCCGCCCCCCUCCUCCGCGAGAGGGCAGGGUAGGGGGUGCAGGCGGCGCUCCUUGCUGCUGCCCGUGGUGGGGCCGCGCCAUGUACGUGCAGGUGUGCGCGCGCCCUCCGGCAGCGCAGCCGCUUUCUGCGCCGAUGCCUCAUCAUGUGCCCCACUCUUCUCUCUGCUGCACGUUGGUGCGCGGGCCAUGGGUGCUCCUCGAGGAUGCGCGGUGGUGCAGAGGAGCCGAUCAUCCGUGAGCGGCGCAGACACGCACACGCGCACACGAGGCACUCACAUGCGCACCUGAUGGCGCUCAUACUCGUCCAGGGGUGAGGCGCGAUGCGGAGAAGCACGGCGUAGAGUCUGUGUGCUGUGCGGCUGCUUGCCCGCUGGAGCGCUCUUGGCGGCGUUGGCUGUGUGAGGGGUGGCAAUGGUGGAGGGCGGCUGGUGUGUGUGUGUGCGAGCGCGUGAGUCCGGGGAGUGGAGGGGUGUGUUCAUUGGUGGAGGAGCAUGCUGACGAGCUGCGGCUCGCGUGCCCGCCGCCCUCGGCCCGGCGCCACGCAGACGCCGUCUGUGCUGCCCAUGUGUGCUGCUCUUCGUUCCCCCACCCCCUUCGCGGCGGUGCCGUCUCCGUGGAUGCUGGGUCCGUGUGCACCCGCCGCGCAUCUGCCUGCUAUGUGCAGUGAACGGGAUGGGCGGUGUCGGCGGUUCGUGGCGGCGGUGGCGCUGCGUGGGUGGGCGGUGCUGCGGCCCCCCUGCACACACGUACAGAGAGGCCCCUCCGCCCCUCUCGCACCCUCCCCCUGCCCCCUGCCCCCUGCGCACAUGCGGCUCGAGCGGCCUGGCACAGGCGCGCCUACAGGACACCGCGG
rnacentral:misc_RNA from 1 species